rnacentral:lncRNA from 1 species
GGACAUCUGAUGUGGAAGCCAUGUGUGAAUUUUUAUAAGCUCUUGGAGAGCGACGGCGAUUCUGAUGAGGGUGCUAAGCUUAGUUCAUCCGCCUCAUUGACUGGACCUUCCAUGGAGCUGAGGGGCCCACAGGGUUGUGGAUGAGUUAUUGGCUGGGGAAAGGUCCUGAGAGAAUUCAGCUUGGCUUUUGAAAAAAUUUCCCCCUUCAUUGAGUUAUGCAGGAUCUGAUGAAAGCAAGAAGGGGGAGUUACCUCAGGAAGACACAGGAGGCAUUGCCCCCUUGGGGAGUGGAGCUGUGAAGUAGAGAAGGGCUCUCUGUGUUUCAAAGCUCCCAGCUUUCCUGUUCUGACUCUCUCACUGCAGAGCGGGGCAGAGCCCUCCCUGAAUGCUUCCAGGUGCAGAUCCUCCCUCUUGGAGCUCUUGGAAGGACUGGAGACAGACGGGUUGGUUCUCCCUCACCACCUCUGACACCUAUGGACAGAGGGCACUCUGCAAGAAAGAAGCCAUCAGUUUGGAGAGGGGAUGAAUUAAGGUCUCAUGUAGCCCAGGAUGGCCCUAUGUAGCUGAGGAUGUCUUUAACUCCACCAGGACCUCCUAUCAUCACCUCUCGAGCACUGGGAUUACAUGUGUGCAGGGGCCAUCGCCUUUAUCUCAGCUCCUAUGACAUCUUUAUGAAACAAUGAGCUCUACAUUCCAUAAACAGAAACCAGAAGG